CGGCGGUAGUAGCGGCGACAGAAAUGGCAAUAGUUCAAAUGAGAAAUGCGGCUCUAUCUGAGUCCGAGUAUUAACCUCCAGAAGGUAUCGUUGGGUGUGGCUCGUGUCUAGGGUUCGGAUUACAGUCUGUCACAGCGCGUGACAAUAGAGGGCGACAACAUGAUCCAGUCUUAUGUCAAGGUCCUUUGCAGAGUAGAAUUGGAGGGGAAUGCAAAUGCAAGUGGGAGGUGAAGUCCAUUUCAAUCUAAAUAUAAAUGAGAGCGAGAUAGCGAUCAAGUACAAGUACGGAAAGAUGAAAAGGACUAUCAAAAGAGAGAGAAAAAGUACGAGUAAGUGUUGAAAGGGAAGGGCAAGAGAUCAGAAUCGGUAUUGGGUAUGUUGUUCUUCGGGGGUGGCCUAUACAGUUUAUAGCACCAGCAUCAGUAGGGGCGGUAGGAGGAGGAAAAAGAAUGUGGCACGGUUUUGUUCGUGAGUGAUAUCCUUGUUUUAUAUAGCUCAUCAGACGCCGCGAGGCUGUCCGC
rnacentral:rRNA from 1 species